CCUACGGGAGGCAGCAGUGAGGAAUAUUGGUCAAUGGCCGUAAGGCUGAACCAGCCAAGUCGCGUGAAGGAAGAAGGAUCUAUGGUUUGUAAACUUCUUUUAUAGGGGAAUAAAGGUAUCCACGUGUGGAUCUUUGCAUGUCCCCUAUGAAUAAGCAUCGGCUAACUACGUGCCAGCAGCCGCGGUAAUACGGAGAAUGCGAGCGUUAUCCGGAUUUAUUGGGGUUAAAGGGUGCGUAGGUGGUUUUUUAAGUCAGCGGUGAAAGUUUGUGGCUCAACCAUAAAAUUGCCGUGCAGACUGGAAGACUUGAGUGUGUUUGAGGUAGGCGGAAUGCGUGGUGUAGCGGUGAAAUGCAUAGAUAUCACGCAGAACUCCGAUUGCGAAGGCAGCUUACUAAGCCAUAACUGACACUGAAGCACGAAAGCGUGGGGAUCAAACAGGAUUAGAUACCCGGGUAGUC
rnacentral:rRNA from 1 species